rnacentral:rRNA from 1 species
UACGUAGGGGGCGAGCGUUGUCCGAAGGUACUGGGCGGAAAGAGCGCGUGGGCGGUUUAUUAAGUCUGAGGGGAAAGGUUCAGCGCUCAACGCGAACAGUGCCUUGGAUACUGGUAGACUUGAGUGUGGCAGAGGAGUAUGGAAUUCCUGGUGUAGCGGUGAAAUGCGUAGAUAUCAGGAGGAAUACCGAUGGCGAAGGCAGUACUCUGGGCUAACACUGACGCUGAGGUGCGAAAGCGCGGGGAGCAAACGGG